rnacentral:lncRNA from 1 species
AGAGCUGUGGAACAAGUGAGGGCGUGGUCAGGCUGCAUUUGGGGAAGACAAGUGGAGGGGGAAGACAGAAGCUGGGACAGGGCAGGUGGCUGUUGGUGUCGGUGCAGAACUGGGCAGACACCCCAGGUCACUUGUGACCAAGAGUCUUUUCGGAGGUGAGACCCAGGAUGUGGGUGUGAGUGGUCAUUUGUUAAUUGUGCUUUCCUUUCCCAAAGUCAACAGAACAAUGCACAAAGCCCCUUUCAUUCUGGAGAGCCUAUUUAUUUGUUUAGAUAGAGCUUCAGAGAGUUGGCAGCCCUCACGCAGCUGCCCGCUGCCCAUCCCAGGCGCUUAGCCUCCCGGGAUGGGGGUGUCUGCUUGCUAUGCAGCAUCUCCAAAUGCUCCCUAGUUACUAGAGUCAGUGUGCUCUCCCCCUCCGGGGGUUUCCUUAACAGCCCAUGUGCUGACACAUGGUUCUCAGCAUUUUUCUGCCUCCAUGCU